GAUGAACGCUGGCGGCGUGCCUAAUACAUGCAAGUCGAGCGAACGGACGAGAAGCUUGCUUUUCUGAUGUUAGCGGCGGACGGGUGAGUAACACGUGGAUAACCUACCUAUAAGACUGGGAUAACUUCGGGAAACCGGAGCUAAUACCGGAUAAUAUUUUGAACCGCAUGGUUCAAAAGUGAAAGACGGUCUUGCUGUCACUUAUAGAUGGAUCCGCGCUGCAUUAGCUAGUUGGUAAGGUAACGGCUUACCAAGGCAACGAUGCAUAGCCGACCUGAGAGCGUGCUCGGCCACACUGGAACUGAGACACGGUCCAGACUCCUACGGGAGGCAGCAGAAGGGAAUCGUCCGCAAUAGGCGAAAGCCUGACGGAGCAACGCCGCGUGAGUGAUGAAGGUCUUCGGAUCGUAAAACUCUGUUAUUAGGGAAGAACAUAUGUGUAAGUAACUGUGCACAGCUUGACGGUACCUAAUCAGAAAGCCACGGCUAACUACGUG
rnacentral:rRNA from 1 species